rnacentral:rRNA from 1 species
CCUACGGGAGGCAGCAGUGAGGAAUAUUGGUCAAUGGGCGCUAGUCUGAACCAGCCAAGUCGCGUGAAGGAUGACUGCCCUAUGGGUUGUAAACUUCUUUUAUCUGGGAAUAAAGUGCAGUAUGUAAACUGCUUUGCAUGUACCUUAUGAAUAAGGAUCGGCUAACUCCGUGCCAGCAGCCGCGGUAAUACGGGGGAUCCGAGCGUUAUCCGGAUUUCUUGGGUUUAAAGGGAGCGUAGGCGGGUUGUUAAGUCAGUUGUGAAAGUGUGCGGCUCAACCGUAAAAUUGCAGUUGAUACUGGAAUCCUUGAGUGCAGUAGAGGUAGGCGGAAUUCGUGGUGUAGCGGUGAAAUGCUUAGAUAUCACGAAGAACUCCGAUUGCGAAGGCAGCCUGCCGGACUGUAACUGACGCUGAUGCUCGAAAGUGUGGGUAUCAAACAGGAUUAGAUACCCCAGUAGUC